rnacentral:rRNA from 1 species
UACAGAGGUCUCAAGCGUUGUUCGGAUUCAUUGGGCGUAAAGGGUGCGUAGGCGGCGCGGUAAGUCGGGUGUGAAAUCUCGGAGCUUAACUCCGAAACUGCAUUCGAUACUGCCGUGCUUGAGGACUGGAGAGGAGACUGGAAUUUACGGUGUAGCGGUGAAAUGCGUAGAUAUCGUCUGGAACGCCAAAGGUGAAAACAGACUGCUGGGAGUGUGCUGACGCUGAGACACGAAAGCCAGGGGAGCAAACGGG